AUGUCUAUUCUCAAGAUCCAUGCCAGAGAGAUCUUUGACUCUCUCAGAAAUCCCACUAUUGAGGUUGACCUCUACAUUGCAAAGUCUCUUCCAAGCUGCUGUGCCCAAUGAUAAGACAGGCUACAUGGGGAAGGGUGUCUCAAAAGCUGUUGAGCACAUCAAUAAAACUAUUGCACCUGCUCUGGUUGACAAGACAUAACACAGUAGAGCAGAUGAAGAUUGACAUACUGAUGACUGAAAUCAAUGGAACUGAAAAUAAAUCUAGGUUUGGCGGGAAUGCCAUCCUGGAAGUAUCCCUGGCUGUCUGCAAAGCUGGUGCUGUAGAGAAGGGUGUGCCCCUCUACUGACACAUUAUGGACCUGGCUGGUAACCCUGAAGUCAUCCUGCCAGUCCCCGCUUUCAGCAUGAUCAAUGGUGGUUCCCACGCUGGCAACAAGCUGGCCAUGCAGGACUUCAUGAUCCUCCCCAUGGGUGCUUCCAGCUUCCAAGAAGCCAUGAGCAUUGGAGCAGAGGUUGACCACAACCUGGAGAAUGUCAUCAAGGAGAAAUAUGGGAAAGAUGUCACCAAUGUGGGUGAUGAAGGUGGGUUUGCUCCCAACAUCCUGGAGAACAAAGAAGGCCUGGAGCUGCUGAAGAAUGCAAUUGGGAAGGCUGGCUGCACUGACAAGGUUGUCAUCGGCAUGGAUGUAGCUGCCUCCGAGUUCUCUAGGUCUGGCAAAUAUGACCUGGAUUUCAAGUCUCCUGAUGACGCCAGCAGGUUCAUCACACCUGACCAGAUGGCUGACUUGUAUAAGUCCUUCAUCUGAGACUACCAGUGGUGUCCAUUGAAGACCCCUUUGACCAGGAUGACCAGGAAGCUUGGCAGAAGUUCACAGCUAGUACAGGCAUCCAGGUAGUUGGGGAUGAUCUCACAGUGACCAACCCAAAGCAGAUUGCCAAGGUGUGGGUGAAAAGUCCUUCAAUUGCCUCCUGCUCAAAGUGAACCAAAUUGGCUCUGUGACUGAGUCUCUGCAGGUGUGCAAGAUGGCUCAGUCUAAUGGUCGGGGCAUCAUGGUGUCCCAUUGCGCUGAGGAGACUAAAGAUACCUUCAUUGCUAUGUUGUGGGCUGACCUGGAGGUGGGACUCUGCACUGGGCAGAUUAGGACUGGUGACCUUGCCAAUCAGAGUGUUUGGCUAAGUACAAUCAGAUCCUCAGAACUGAAGAGGAACUGGGCAGGAAGGCCAAGUUUGUCGGCAGGUCCUUCGGAAACUCCCUGGCUAAGUAA